UACUGUUCUUAUUAGAGUGACGAACAUGUUGUUAUAUUCCCAAACAGAAAAAUUGGGAUCACCUGAUGUGAAAGUGGGAUAACUGAUUCAUCCUAACUCCUCUUAUGAGAUUUAUUCAACUUCAUGGUGAUUCUCCACUACUUUAUGUAUCUAAAUACAGCUUCUCACAUCGCGAUUCCACCUGAUCUAAUUAGAAUGACAAAGAAGUUGUCAUAUUCCCAAACAGGAAAACUGGGAUCACCUGAUUUGAAAGUGGUAAAACUUCUUCUACUUAACUCCUAUGAGAAUUAUUCAACUUUCUGGUGAUUCUCCACUACACUAUGUAUCCAAAUACAUCUUCUCACAUCGCAAUUCAUCCUUGUCUGAUUAGAAAGACAAAGAAGUUAUCAUAUUCACAAACAGGAAAACUAGGAUCACUUGAUUUGAAAGUGAGAUAACUUCUUCAUCCUAACUCCUAUGAGAUUUAUUCAACUUCCUAGUGAUUCUCCACUACUUUAUGUAUUCAAAUCAAGCAUCUUACCUCGCGAUUCAUACUGUUCUUAUUAGAGUGACGAACAUGUUGUUAUAUUCCCAAACAGAAAAAUUGGGAUCACCUGAUGUGAAAGUGGGAUAACUGAUUCAUCCUAACUCCUCUUAUGAGAUUUAUUCAACUUCAUGGUGAUUCUCCACUACUUUAUGUAUCUAAAUACAGCUUCUCACAUCGCGAUUCCACCUGAUCUAAUUAGAAUGACAAAGAAGUUGUCAUAUUCCCAAACAGGAAAACUGGGUUCACCUGAUUUGAAAGUGGGAUAAUUUUUUCAUCGUAACUCAUAUGAGAUAUCUUAAUCUUCUUGGUGAUU